UCCCUGGUGGCCUGGGGUUAAGGUCUCAGCACUGUCACUGCUGUGGCUCGGGUUCAAUCCCUGGCCCAGGAA
rnacentral:tRNA from 1 species